UACGGUGAAUACGUUCCCGGACCUUGUACACACCGCCCGUCAAGCCAUGGAAGCUGGGUGUACCUAAAGUCGGUAACCGUAAGGAGCCGCCUAGGGUAAAACUAGUAACUGGAGCU
rnacentral:rRNA from 1 species